rnacentral:ncRNA from 1 species
GGUUUGGUCCUGACCUUAAAAUCAAUUAUUUCUUAAUAUAUACAUGCAAGUCUCAGCCCCCCUGUGAAAACGCCCUUAAAUCCCCCUUAGGGAUAAGGAGCUGGUAUCAGGCACGAAACUCUGCCCAAAACACCUAGCCAUGCCACACCCACAAGGGAAUUCAGCAGUAAUUAACAUUGAAUAUAAGCGCCAGCUUGACUCAGUUAAAGAAAAUAGAGCCGGCUAAUCUGGUGCCAGCCGCCGCGGUUACACCACGUGACUCAAAUUGAUUUUAAUCGGCGUAAAGCGUGAUUUAAGCACUAAAAAAUUAAAGUUAAACUUAAACUAAGCUGUAACACGCUUGUUUUUAAGAAAAUCUAAUACGAAAGUUACUUUAAUUAUAACCACUUGAACUCACGACAAUUAGAACACAAACUGGGAUUAGAUACCCCACUAUGUCUAAUCGUAAACUUUAACUUACACCUCCAUCGCCUGGGAACUACGAGCAAAGCUUAAAACCCAAAGGACUUGACGGUACCCCAAAUCCACCUAGAGGAGCCUGUCCUAUAAUCGAUAACCCCCGUUUAACCUCACCACCCCUAGUCACUCAGCCUGUAUACCUCCGUCGUCAGCUUACCACGUGAGCGAACUAUAGUGAGCUUAAUGUUAUUACAUCAAUACGUCAGGUCAAGGUGCAGCACAUGAGGUGGGAAGAGAUGGGCUACACUUUCUAUUUUAGAAUAUACGAAAAAUUAUAUAUGAAAAUAAGUUUGAAGGCGGAUUUAGAAGUAAAGAGAGAUAAUUAUGCUCUCUUAAACAAGGCACUGGGGUGUGUACACACCGCCCGUCACCCUCUUCAAAGCUAACUUAUAGUAUUUAACCACAUUUGCUACUCAGAAGAGGCAAGUCGUAACAUGGUAAGUAUACCGGAAGGUGUGCUUGGAA